GUUGUACUUGUUGCUGCAGGAUGACGUGCAAUUUCAAGGAAAGUAUGAUUUGUGGCAGGCUGUGAAUGGUAACCAUGAGACGUAGUAAUAACAUGUAUAUCGCGUUUGACCUCUCUGAACCACCUUCAAGAUGUGCGCCUUACCAGCUUCAGGGGAUGACUGAGCGUGGCUCACUGAGUACUUCGCCAAGAGUUCUGCAUCCUGUUCUAGUUUGACCUCUCUUUAAUUUUUAUUUUUACAUUAUGGCGUGAUCUCCAGCCACGGCACAUUGAUGGAGGCAUGCGCCACAGCCUUGGACAUGCAAGUAUUUACAAAAUAAUGAUUAUGUUACUUGGCAACCUAAUGGUACUUCCAAAUAUGCAUCAAAACAAUGUCAGUGUGGGAGUUUUCUUUCAUUUUUUUGUUGUAAUAAUUUCACUUUGAUAUGACAGGCUGAUGUUUUUUCUGUCCUGGAGUUCACUUCCUACUUAUUUUUUAUCAACAA